rnacentral:tRNA from 1 species
GCCGGGGUGGUGAAAUCGGUAGACACUACGGAUUUAAAAUCCGUUGACCGUUAGGUCGUGCGGGUUCAAGUCCCGCUCCCGGCACCA